CGGCUUCCAGAUGCGCCCCUUAGUUAUUGUUUGCCAUUUGAAAUUACAUCUUACACCGUGGGCAUAUGAGUGUUUAUGCAUUGUAUUGGUAUUUGUUUAAGUAUUUGGAAAAAAAAUGCUUCAUGAAUGAACGGAGGUCGGUUCACGGCUGUAGCCGGGCAUUUUGCCGACAGUUCCUGCGCGAUUAAUAGCUCGACAGUGUAGUGGAGUGUUUUUUGCCGUAAUUUAAGGUGCAAUAGUAGGUUUUAUACGAGAUUUUGAAGGGGCAAAAGCAGAAUGUUACCCGAAUAUCCGACAAUAUCAAAAACAGAAGCCUACCCACCUGCAAACAUAACAGCACAAGAGCUCUACUUUAUACUAUCAAAAAUAUUCCUCCAGGAGAAUCAGCAAAGUGCUAAUAGUCCAGAAGAACCGGAUGGUAUUGCCAGUUUUAAUUUAAACAAUGAUGAUAUGAAGAGAUUGCUAAUGGAAUAUGCCUAUAGAGGCAGUAAUAUAUCAUAUUAUAGAUAACAAACUAGUCAAUUAUAAUUAUACUUAGUCAAAUAUAAGGGUAGGAGUAAAUUACGUAAUGCGUUAAAGGGGUGGGACAGGAGUAUGACAAGGGGUAUCCCCCCUUUUAAGCUUCGUGACGGAACAAACGUCACUCGUAACGAAAUGAGGUAAAAAUAAUUAUUAUAUAAUUUGUACUUUAAUAUAAGUAUUAUGCAAUUUAGGAGACAUAAUCAGCAUUAGAUAUAUGUUUAUAUGUACUCAUAUUUAUAUUAACAAAGCUAUAAAUUUAUUUCAAGAUUAUAUAAUUUGAUAUUUUAAAAAUCUUUAACAUAAUCUUAAGGAAAAUGAAUGAAGGAAUAUUAAUUAUAAUUAUCACGCAAUUAGAAACGUUAUUUCAUGCAAUAAAUACCAAAGAUACGAGACAAUGAUUAUAUUUUUAUUCUAGUUUUUAUUUUUACAUUAAAUAAAGUGUUCAGUUUCUUAUAGUGUUUUUAUAGCGUAUUUACAAUCUAAAAUCUAAGAAAGCUGAAAUGGCAACGGGCAGGGCGCACAGUUAGAAGAACCGAUAGAUGUCAGGGGUCCCAAAGUGCUGGAAUGGCGACCCCGCACUGGAAAGCGCAGAGUCGACCUCCCACUAGGUGGACCGAGGACAUUAAUUGGGUUGCAGGGAGUAGGACGCUGGCGGCUCGAGACGUUUUUUUCGGAAGUCCAUGCAAGAGGCCUAUGUCCAGCAGUCAUCCAUCGGCUGUUAAUGAUGAUGAUGAUGAUUAUGAUGAUGACUAUGAUGAUGACUAUGAUGAUGAUUUACAAUAAAUAUGUUAAGAACAAGUAGUCUGCUAUAUAUACACCUACUCAUAUCUUACUAUGACUGUAUAAGCUAGUUAGGCGGUCAGAAAUAUUUAUAGACGUAAAUUACUAACUAUAACGUGAUUCUUUACAUUUUAGACAUGCAUUGUUUUUUUUAAAAAACUGGGUAGAGCCUUCUAAUAGAAAUGAGGAAUAUACUGCUUAUGCCCACCAAAGUCCAAGCUGCUAUUUGGUUGUAAAUUCUAUGUUAAUUUGGAAAUCAUAUGUAAAUCUAUACACAUUUUUUUUGUUUAAUGCCAAAGUAAAUAUUCUAGUGAAUAGGUAAUUAAAAAUAGGUAGUACAAUUUUUUUUUGUAAAUUAGAUGUUAUCAUGAUGUUUUAGCAAAUAAAUUUGGUAUAUGAUAUAA